rnacentral:rRNA from 1 species
AGAGUUUGAUUCUGGCUCAGGACGAACGCUGGCGGCGUGCUUAACACAUGCAAGUCGAACGAUGAAGCGGUGCUUGCACCGUGGAUUAGUGGCGAACGGGUGAGUAAUACGUGAGUGACCUACCUUUGACUCUGGGAUAAGCCUGGGAAACUGGGUCUAAUACCGGAUACGACCAAUCUCUGCAUGGGGUGUUGGUGGAAAGCGUUAUGGAGUGGUUUUAGAUGGGCUCACGGCCUAUCAGCUUGUUGGUGAGGUAAUGGCUUACCAAGGCGACGACGGGUAGCCGGCCUGAGAGGGUGACCGGCCACACUGGGACUGAGACACGGCCCAGACUCCUACGGGAGGCAGCAGUGGGGAAUAUUGCACAAUGGGCGCAAGCCUGAUGCAGCGACGCCGCGUGAGGGAUGGAGGCCUUCGGGUUGUGAACCUCUUUCGCCAGUGAAGCAGGCCUGUCCCUUUUGUGGGUGGGUUGACGGUAGCUGGAUAAGAAGCGCCGGCUAACUACGUGCCAGCAGCCGCGGUAAUACGUAGGGCGCGAGCGUUGUCCGGAAUUAUUGGGCGUAAAGAGCUCGUAGGCGGCUGGUCGCGUCUGUCGUGAAAUCCUCUGGCUUAACUGGGGGCUUGCGGUGGGUACGGGCCGGCUUGAGUGCGGUAGGGGAGACUGGAACUCCUGGUGUAGCGGUGGAAUGCGCAGAUAUCAGGAAGAACACCGGUGGCGAAGGCGGGUCUCUGGGCCGUUACUGACGCUGAGGAGCGAAAGCGUGGGGAGCGAACAGGAUUAGAUACCCUGGUAGUCCACGCCGUAAACGUUGGGCACUAGGUGUGGGGGGCCUUUUCCGGGUUUUCCGCGCCGUAGCUAACGCAUUAAGUGCCCCGCCUGGGGAGUACGGCCGCAAGGCUAAAACUCAAAGGAAUUGACGGGGGC